GACGAACGCUGGCGGCGUGCCUAAUACAUGCAAGUAGAACGCUGAAGAGAGGAGCUUGCUCUUCUUGGAUGAGUUGCGAACGGGUGAGUAACGCGUAGGUAACCUGCCUGGUAGCGGGGGAUGACUAUUGGAAACGAUAGCUAAUACCGCAUAAAAUUGAUUAUUGCAUGAUAAUUAAUUGAAAGAUGCAACUGCAUCACUACCAGAUGGACCUGCGUUGUAUUAGCUAGUUGGUGAGGUAACGGCUCACCAAGGCGACGAUACAUAGCCGACCUGAGAGGGUGAUCGGCCACACUGGGACUGAGACACGGCCCAGACUCCUACGGGAGGCAGCAGUAGGGAAUCUUCGGCAAUGGGGGGAACCCUGACCGAGCAACGCCGCGUGAGUGAAGAAGGUUUUCGAAUCGUAAAGCUCUGUUGUAAGAGAAGAACGGGUGUGAGAGUGGAAAGUUCACACUGUGACGGUAUCUUACCAGAAAGGGACGGCUAACUACGUG
rnacentral:rRNA from 1 species